rnacentral:lncRNA from 1 species
GGCGAUACGGUCGAUCGGUCCAGCCGAUGCGGUCGAUCGUCUGCGAGGGGAUCGAGUCGUCACUCGAGAGGUGAUCCAGCCGACGCCGUCGAUCAGGCUUCCAUUGAGAAAGCGAGGGGACGCGGGGAUGAAGGCCGACGCUUCGGCUGAUCGAAACUGCUCCAUUGAGACUUGAUAGAUGCAAUCAUACGUCAGUUUCUGAGCCAAUAUUCUUGGUGGCUGGUCUAUAUAUGCUUCCUUCCCUGCCAGUCUUCGCUAACCCUUUCCACUCUCGGUACCACAUCUUCCAGCAUGUUGCUCUGGUAGGUUUCCUCUUUUCAGUUCAUGUAUGCUUCAUUGUUCUUCCAAGCAAUUACGUAUCCUGAUUUCCUCUCAUACCAAAAAUUCUACGUACAGGUGAUGUUCAUGCUGAUUUGAGCAUAUCCUGGAGCUUGGUACUGAGAAUAUUUUUGGUCGACAGUUCAUAAUCUAAAAUGGCGUUCGGAGAUGUAAUUACUCCACACCUUCUCCUUACACAUUUUACCAUCUGCGUUUUUAGGCUGCACUAUUUCUGUGAUGAUUGCAGGCGAUGGGGAUUGCUCAAUCCGGAUUCAGCAUCGAGCACCUGGCCGAAGGUACACGCGGACAUCAGGAAACUUUUGGUUGGGGAUCUCUACCGGGCAGGUUCUUUCACCUGCACACACCAACUUUCUACAUCUAUGGAAAUCUGAACCGGAAGUUUUCAAACUUGAGUAACUGAAUUCCAUUAAGCCAAAUGAGAAUCUUGUCAGUUGUACAUUUUUUCUGUGAUUUUCUUACCCAAUUCUCUAUACAGUCAUCCCUGACUAUUAGGGAGACAAUAUACAAUCUAUUGUUACUUACACUAUUAAAGCUAGCAGCAGGAGGUUGUUAAUGUCAUCAAAACGCGCAACAAGAAUCCAAGCCCAACAGAAAUCAUUUUUGUUUGCAUUGAACCAAAGUGCAAGUACACUAGAGGUAUGCAGAUUAUUUUCUCUAAUACCGUACAACCAAUGCUUCAUCUGUCAAUUAUCUCCUAAAGAUAUGGCUUCACCGGGUACAAAGUAGUCUUAUUGGUGUCCGCUCCCUAUUUUAUUCUCUAUGGAACCCUCUCCUUAAUUAUGACAUGGUAUCCUUUGAAAAAAAAUGUAAUACUUUGGUUCUUUAUGGAAGUACCAUGAAAAAUGAUAGGGGGAAAUCGAUAUUUGCAUCAUGUAGACAAGAACAUGUCACAACUAAGAGAGCUUCCCUUGGUUGUCAAAAUUUUAUCCUUGACUUUAUUGUCAAUUAAAAUUAUCUUCUUACAGGAAUCCUUCCAUUCUGCAAUCUAAUUAUCUCUGAAAUACCAAUAUGGUGUUUUUAUUAAUUUGACUAUUCCAACGACAUUGUAGAAUUACUUUCACAAGUGUGCUGUGAUGCAUUUCUAUUUACUUUAUGCUUAUUUCCCUUAUUCCCUAUUUGUCGGAAACAAUAAUAAGUUGAAUGGCAAGAAAACAAAGCAUGCACUAUUAUUCAGAAUGAAGGUCCCCUUGACCCUUAAAAUCUAUAGAUGAGUGUGUUCAAUAUUUUCCGGGCAUUUCAUUUCUAGAAUGUUCUUUUUCUUACAUUAUAUUUUAGAAUAAACAGUUGUUACAUUUCCUUGGGAUUCAUGCAAGAUUAAUGCUUGAAGUGGUCUCCAUUUUUGCAGUUAAUGUUCAUGCACCCUUUUGUGCAUUAAUACUUCCAUUCCAAUAUCCAUGCCAUUUUGGCUAGCUGAAAGCCGAUAGUGUUUGCUCCAUGGAGAAUUCCUUCUGCUUUUUGGGAUCAGCAGACACCAUUAACUAAUUGUGUUAUUCUUUUGGAUAGCUUGCUAUUGAUUAGACUCAGUUCGAAUACUUUAUGCAAGUUUUAUAUAUGACAAUUAAGAUGUUGGCUGACUUCUUUUUGGCAGCUCUGCACGUGUUGAAAUUCGCAUAUCGAAGUCGAAGCUGUAGUAUAAAUAUAUUAAUUAGCGAGUACUGCUUAACAUGCACUGCGUUACAUGUAACUUGGUUGCGUACCAUGUUCAGAACUUGCUUUCUUGGUUCUGGAUUUCAGGAUUUCUUUCCUGCUUUUUCGUAGGGAUGCGUGUCAUUUUGCCUCUAAUAUUUCUACCAUAAUUUCAUCAAGAUGGAUGCACGCCGCAAUACACAUCUUUAUUUUCUCUACCAGCAUGCUCUUGUUCUGUGUGACUAGAUGUCCAAAACAUUGUCGUCUCAGUUCUGGCCAAGGAUAUUCAUAUCGUUGUAUUAAAUCACCUUUCUUUCCUCUAAUGUUGUAUUGCAGGGUUCAAGGAUUCCCGAGAAGUGGCCAAUGUUCAGUGAAACUGUUGUAUGCUCCCGAGGAAAGUGGUCUCGUGCUAAAAAUCAAGUGCAUUGACCAUGUUAUAUGUUUUCUGAUUUCUUCGCUCAAAAGGUCAUCGAUUGUUGAAUAUGUCUUCUAUGCUACACUUCUUUAAGAUAUGUAAUUAUAUAUAUCAAUAAAUACAAACAAAAGAAUUCCACAACCCCGGUUAUUGUUUUAGCAGUACAACUUUGGGCUUGCAACCUAUAGUCAGAGUGACAAAGUAUAUGACAUCAUCCAAUAGGUUUGUCACCUCGAUAAAGCAAUAUUAU